UAGGGCUUUUAUUUCAUCCCCUUUUCACUUUCAGGCCUCUUUCGCUCAAAGCUUCAACCACGACUUCCUCCUUAACCUCCUGCUGUCACCCUCGCCCGUCCGUCAGUUCCGUGUCGCUGUCCGCCAUUGUCGUCGCCUCCGUCACUCCGCAAUGUCGUGACGAUUCCCGCCAUUCGAUUUCAGCAAAGUUUAAGGACGAAGAAAUUUGGGUCAUCAUGGCACCGAAACUGAAAUACAUUCCUGGCCUCACUCUCAAAGAAAAGACGCUAAAAGGAUUUGAAACUCACGUCAUCACCAAUUCUAAAAGUGGGGGGAAUGUAUCCGUAGAUUCUGUUGAACUCUUGUGGCCAAACUCAUAAAGGCUGAUGAAGAUGUAUGACAAAUUAAUUAUAUUUGUUAUUAUUUUUUCUUAAGUUUUUAGUUUAACUUUUGUUUGAAGAGGUGAAAGAAUACCAUGGUAAAUUAGGCCAUCUGAAGAGGUUAGCGGAAAUAGAGACGGACAGAUUGUUUAUUGAGCUAUGUGAAAAGGAUUCCUGCAAAAUACUAAGACAUAUGUAUGUAAUUGUUUUUUAAAAAAAUUUAAUAAACUUUUUCUUAAACUGUA